rnacentral:rRNA from 1 species
AUUGAACGCUGGCGGCAGGCUUAACACAUGCAAGUCGAGCGAGCGGCGGACGGGUGAGUAAUGUCUGGGAAACUGCCUGAUGGAGGGGGAUAACUACUGGAAACGGUAGCUAAUACCGCAUACCAUCAGAUGUGCCCAGAUGGGAGUAGCUAGUAGGGGGGGUAAUGGCUCACCUAGGCGACGAUCCCUAGCUGGUCUCAGAGGAUGACCAGCCACACUGGAACAGAGAAACGGUCCAGACUCCUACGGGACGACGAGGUGGGGAAUAUUGCACAAUUGGCGCAAGCCUGUUGCAGCCAUGCCGCGUGUGUGAAGAAGGCCUUCGGGUUGUAAAGCACUUUCAGCGAGGAGGCGUUACGCGCAGAAGAAGCACCGGCUAACUCCGUGCCAGCAGCCGCGGUAAUAC